rnacentral:rRNA from 1 species
GACGAACGCUGGCGGCAUGCUUAACACAUGCAAGUCGAGCGGAAAGGCCUUUUCGGCGGUACUCUUGUGGGGAACGGGUGAGUAACACGUUGGGGAUCUGCCCUGCACUCUGGGAUUAGCCUGGGAAACUGGGUCUAAUACCGGAUAGGACCGCACUUGAGAUUGUGUGGUGGAAUGUUUUUUCGGUGUAGGAUUAGCCCGCGGCCUAUCAGCUUGUUGGUGGUGUAAUGGCCUACCAAGGCGGCGACGGGUAUCCGGACUGUGAGGUUGGUCGGCCCCAUUGCGACUGAGAUACGGGACAGAGUACUACGGGAGACAGCAGUGGGGAAUAUUGCCCAAUGGGGGCAAGCCUGAUGCAGCGACGCCGCGUGGGGGAUGACGGCCUUCGGGUUGUAAACUACUGUCGCCAGGGACGAAGCGUUUUGUGACGGAACCUGGAGAUGAAGACCGGCUAAAUUAGUG